GGAAAAGCCUCUAAGCAUCAGGUAACAUCAAAUCGUACCCCAAACCGACACAGGUGGUCAGGUAGAGAAUACCAAGGCGCUUGAGAGAACUCGGGUGAAGGAACUAGGCAAAAUGGUGCCGUAACUUCGGGAGAAGGCACGCUGAUAUGUAGGUGAAGUCCCUCGCGGAUGGAGCUGAAAUCAGUCGAAGAUACCAGCUGGCUGCAACUGUUUAUUAAAAACACAGCACUGUGCAAACACGAAAGUGGACGUAUACGGUGUGACGCCUGCCCGGUGCCGGAAGGUUAAUUGAUGGGGUCAGCGCAAGCGAAGCUCUUGAUCGAAGCCCCGGUAAACGGCGGCCGUAACUAUAACGGUCCUAAGGUAGCGAAAUUCCUUGUCGGGUAAGUUCCGACCUGCACGAAUGGCGUAAUGAUGGCCAGGCUGUCUCCACCCGAGACUCAGUGAAAUUGAACUCGCUGUGAAGAUGCAGUGUACCCGCGGCAAGACGGAAAGACCCCGUGAACCUUUACUAUAGCUUGACACUGAACAUUGAGCCUUGAUGUGUAGGAUAGGUGGGAGGCUUUGAAGUGUGGACGCCAGUCUGCAUGGAGCCGACCUUGAAAUACCACCCUUUAAUGUUUGAUGUUCUAACGUGGACCCGUGAUCCGGGUUGCGGACAGUGUCUGGUGGGUAGUUUGACUGGGGCGGUCUCCUCCUAAAGAGUAACGGAGGAGCACGAAGGUUGGCUAAUCCUGGUCGGACAUCAGGAGGUUAGUGCAAUGGCAUAAGCCAGCUUGACUGCGAGCGUGACGGCGCGAGCAGGUGCGAAAGCAGGUCAUAGUGAUCCGGUGGUUCUGAAUGGAAGGGCCAUCGCUCAACGGAUAAAAGGUACUCCGGGGAUAACAGGCUGAUACCGCCCAAGAGUUCAUAUCGACGGCGGUGUUUGGCACCUCGAUGUCGGCUCAUCACAUCCUGGGGCUGAAGUAGGUCCCAAGGGUAUGGCUGUUCGCCAUUUAAAGUGGUACGCGAGCUGGGUUUAGAACGUCGUGAGACAGUUCGGUCCCUAUCUGCCGUGGGCGCUGGAGAACUGAGGGGGGCUGCUCCUAGUACGAGAGGACCGGAGUGGACGCAUCACUGGUGUUCGGGUUGUCAUGCCAAUGGCACUGCCCGGUAGCUAAAUGCGGAAGAGAUAAGUGCUGAAAGCAUCUAAGCACGAAACUUGCCCCGAGAUGAGUUCUCCCUGACCCUUUAAGGGUCCUGAAGGAACGUUGAAGACGACGACGUUGAUAGGCCGGGUGUGUAAGCGCAGCGAUGCGUUGAGCUAACCGGUACUAAUGAACCGUGAGGCUUAACCUUACAACGCCGAAGGUGUUU
rnacentral:rRNA from 1 species